GACGAGGGGUCCAAGCGUUGUUCGGAAUCAUUGGGCGUAAAGCGGGUGUAGGCGGCUCUAUAAGUCAGAAGUGAAAGCCCCGGGCUUAACCUGGGAAGUGCUUUUGAUACUGCAGAGCUUGAAUGUGGGAGAGGGUAGUGGAAUUCCAGGUGUAGUGGUGAAAUACGUAGAUAUCUGGAGGAACACCGGUGGCGAAGGCGGCUACCUGGCCCAACAUUGACGCUGAGACCGAAGACAUGGGGGAUCAAACAGG
rnacentral:rRNA from 1 species